GAUGACGUCACGGUUUAGGAAGAAGUGAGUUAAUGUUUACGAAGUCUCGGUGAAGUUAGGUGUCAUUUGUUUGGGAUCAGAACAUUUGUGAGCCAUCACCACAAUGUGGGUUCGUCCGGAAGAGGUUCUCAUUGCGAAUGCACUUUGGAUCACGGAGCGAGCGAACCCGUAUUUUGCCCUCCAGAGGCGGAAGGGACAUGGAGGGGGUGGGUUGACUUCUCUUGUUAUUGGAACUCUGGACUCGGUCCUUGACAACAAGUCUGCUCCGUACCGUAUCCUUCAUCAGACGCCGCAAUCGGAGCUUUACCAUACUAUUGCAACAGCUCUUCACAAGAAAGACAUCAUUAAGCACUGGGAAUGGAUUGAACAGAAUCUCAUGGUUACUCUUGGUAAGAUUUACUCUAAAGCAGCCUUCUCAAUUACUUUUGUGAAAGCUCCAUAUUUCUUGUUGGGAAUCUGUUCUGCUCCACUAGCACGAAGGAGCGGCCUUUUAUAUGAAGAGGGGAUUUAAUCAAUAUAUCAACAGAAGUGAUACAGAUGCAAACAAACUACACAAUCCAUUUUUUUUAAUGAUAAGUGACUUUUCAAAACAUAUAUUGGUGAUACCACUAGUUCAGAUAUAGAGAUCGAAGUGACAUGUACUUGUUUUUGCUGCUAGGGCAGAAAAUUAUCUCACCUAUCUAUCUCAUGUAUCAUUCAUUAUAUGCGCGACUCCACGACAGACAAUACAUCGCAGCAUGUCACUUUUACAACCUUGGAUUUUGAAUAAUCGGUAUCAGAAACAAAGUUUAUGAUUGUCAAUACAGGUGUACGUCUAAAAUUCCUUACUUCAUUCCCGUAUUAUUUGAUGGUUAAAACUUAACCGACUUACAUUUCGUGAUGCUACAAUAAAAUGCAAAUUAAGAACUUGAUUUUAUAUCUGUAUGCCACAUUUUCCAAUAAGAUGUUCUUUGCCCGGAGCCCAAGUUAUUAAUCAAACUAUGGCUUGCCAUGUAUAAGAGUUCUGUUCAAUCAUGGAUUUAUUUUCAUCAUUUCAAGUGCUGCAUCUGAGCAAUUCUACCAAUUUUCAGUGUAUAAUCUGGAAAUGCGAAAUUACGAGCCGUAGAAAUAGUUGAAAACGUGAUACAUGUAGAUUUCAGAUCACUUGUGAUCAUCUUUUAGAGAUAAUUUGCGUAUCUCUAUCAUUGUGAUGGCAUGCACAUACUCUUUGUUACGGUUGCACACACAUACACCAAGCAUAGAACAAAUAAAAAUAAAACCAAUGAGGACUUAAGUUUCAAAUAUAACUCGGUUUUUGUUUUCCCUUUGUUAUGAAAUUAUCAUCAAAAAUCGAUUCCAGGUUACUAGUAGACCAAACGUUCCCGCCAUGUACAUGUACAGGUGUAUUUUUUUUCGUACCGGCUCUCAAGCGCCACUCCGCAAGGCUCGGUGCGCCACAAGUGGCGCGCGCCACCAUUUUAGAAUCCCUGCUCUAUUAAAGGAAAGAACUAUAGGAGAGAAGGAUUGAAAAAGAGGGAAUGAAACCAGUUUACAGUUUCAUUUCAAAGUUAUAUCCAAGAAACUGAUCAAUGGAAGUUUUUUGAGAAAUGUUGAAUAAAAUAACAAAGUUAUGAUCCUUUCAAUGGAUGAUCAUAAUUAUUUUUGAACUCAAUUUAAGAGUGUAACCAUAACUGGCAUAAUUUAAAAUGAUUUAUAGUAUUAAUAGGAGCAUAUCUACUCGUACAUAAUUUACAACUUACAUAAAAUGUAGCAAUCUUAAAGGGCAAAUCCACUCCAACAACAACAAAAUUGGAUGCAAAAAAGUCAAGCAAACAUAACUCUGACAAAUAAUUAACAAUUGAUGUGAAUUAUUCUCAAAUUUUACUAAUUUUCACAAAACAGAUUUAUGAACAUCUGAUGACCUCCUCCACUCAGUAUUUCUUUAGAUUUUUUUUAUUGUAGAAAGUGAAAUAUUUAAGUUUUCUCCUAAAUAUGAAAAACAAAAUUUGAUUCCUCUCUGAACUUUAUAUAGAAUUGCCAUUAUUAUAAUUAAUUAUGAUCAAAUGAAGAGUGACCUUAUUGCCAAAUCUGCAAAUUUCAAAACAAUGAAAUAUAGUAAGAGGGAGUACAGUAGUGAGUGAGUGACAUCACUGACUCUAAUUAAUUAGCCUUUCGCUGUGUUUUACAUAAAUGUUUAUCUGUUUUGUGAAAAAUCAGUGAAAUUUCAAAAUGUAAAUAACUUUCUUAUUUUACAUAAGAUUUUUAAUGAAAAUUUUGUGCAUUAAAUGCUUGUUUCAUAUUUUUUUCUCAUUUUAUCAGAAAACCAAAUUUUUAUUGGGUUGAACUUGCCCUUUAAACUGUGACGUGUUUGUACAAACUGCAGUGAGUUUUUCCGUUUACAUAUAUCAUAUUACGAGUGGUGAUUAAAAGAGAUCAAAGGAAAUGACCUGUAGAUUGCAGGAAGUUCAAGGGAGCAUUUCAUGAACAAAGAGACUGUGAUUUUUUAACUGAUUACUGUUGUAAGCUACUAAAAUCCUUGCAUCUGGUUGGCUGAGAGUGAAUUGGUCAGUGAAUUGGCUGAAUUGGCUGAGAGUGAAUUGAUCCUUUCGAAGAGGCGUGUCCUCAAGGGGUCAAAGUUGGGCAUUGAGGAGGAUCUAACCAGGCCCAACGCACAACUUCUAUACAAAGUGAAAAACUGUCAAAAGGUUCUUGCUUCGUGGUCCGCUGACGGAAGGAUUUUCGCGUUGCUCCCAGCCAGUGGCGGAAAAACAAUAAAACGUCUCAUCACGCAUGAAGGAGACUUGGACAAUAUUUGAUCAGUUUGAAAAUAAACUCAGUUGUACUUUGCUAUGUAUGCAAUAUUGUACUCUUUGAACUUUGGUGCAUCCUGCUAUUUUAGCUCUUGCCUGUUUGAACUUUGAUUUUAAUUUCAUUCAGUAAUUUAUUUAUUUGUUUGUUUAUCUAUUUUUUUUUCCGUUUCAAUGGUCAGGGUUUUUUCUUGUGUUAGUUGUUCUAAACCUGUAAAACACAACCAAAAGGGAAUACGUUGUACAAUAUGUCAUAAAUGGGUUCACAUCGCAUGUGUUGGAAUUAGUAUUGUUGAUUAUGAUGAUCCAUUAUGUGAAUUUUUAGACUGGAAAUGUCCCAAAUGUUUGUUUCAAUAUUUGCCUAACUACAUAUCUGAUGAAGAUAAUGACAAGACUUGCUCAUUCGUAGCAUCCACACAAUCUUCGUUCAUUCAGUCUCAUCCUGAUAAACAGGGAGAUAAAAAUCUGAAAUUCAAAGAACUAAAUCACCCAAAAGGUCUCAUAGUGCUACAUUUGAAUGUUCGCAGUUUACUCCGCAAUUUUUCAGAAAUCAAGACUAUAUUGAUAGAAAAUAAUGU